rnacentral:sRNA from 1 species
UUGACAGUACUGGGGACUGAAGUCUUCUAUCCACAGAACAGUACAGCAUUGGCAGCAGCAGUGCAAGCGUCCCCACAUCGUCCCAUCAAUGUGCCUCAACAUUGACCUGGAGGGACCACCUCUAGGGGUGAGAGUAGUUCAGCUUCCAUGCCCAGUCCAGUCUUAGUGCCUCU